GAUGAACGCUAGCGGCAGGCUUAACACAUGCAAGUCGAGGGGCAGCAUGACACGGAGAUUCGUCGAAGUGUUGAUGGCGACCGGCGCAAGGGUGCGUAACGCGUGAGCAACUUGCCCGUUUCAGGGGGAUAACCGGUGGAAACGCCGACUAAUACCCCAUAGUAUGUUUUUGAGGCAUCUCUUAAACAUUAAAGAAAUUCGGAAACGGAUAGGCUCGCGUGACAUUAGCUAGAUGGCGGGGUAACGGCCCACCAUGGCGACGAUGUCUAGGGGUUCUGAGAGGAAGGUCCCCCACACUGGAACUGAGACACGGUCCAGACUCCUACGGGAGGCAGCAGUGAGGAAUAUUGGUCAAUGGUCUGACGACUGAACCAGCCAUGCCGCGUGAAGGUGACGGCCCUAUGGGUCUUAAACUUCUUUUGUAAGGGAGCAAUAAGGUCUACGUGUAGACUGAUGAGAGUACCUUACGAAUAAGCAUCGGCUAACUCCGUGCCAGCCGCCGCGGUAACAC
rnacentral:rRNA from 1 species